UCUAAUAUGGCAGAAUAGUGCAGUAGAUUUAAGCUCUACAUAUAAAGAUCACCUUUUAUUAGAA
rnacentral:tRNA from 1 species